UCCAGGCCCUACGGGGUGCAGCAGGCGCGAAACCUCCGCAAUGUGAGAAAUCGCGACGGGGGGAUCCCAAGUGCCAUUCUUAACGGGAUGGCUUUUCAUUAGUGUAAAGAGCUUUUGGAAUAAGAGCUGGGCAAGACCGGUGCCAGCCGCCGCGGUAACACCGGCAGCUCUAGUGGUAGCAGUUUUUAUUGGGCCUAAAGCGUCCGUAGCCGGUUUAAUAAGUCUCUGGUGAAAUCCUGCAGCUUAACUGUGGGAAUUGCUGGGGAUACUAUUAGACUUGAGAUCGGGAGAGGUUAGAGGUACUCCCAGGGUAGAGGUGAAAUUCUGUAAUCCUGGGAGGACCGCCUGUUGCGAAGGCGUCUGACUGGAACGAUUCUGACGGUGAGGGACGAAAGCUAGGGGCGCGAACCGGAUUAGAUACCCGGGUAGUCCUAGCUGUAAACGAUGCGGACUUGGUGUUGGGGUGGCUUUGAGCUGUCCCAGUGCCGAAGGGAAGCUGUUAAGUCCGCCGCCUGGGAAGUACGGUCACAAGACUGAAACUUAAAGGAAUUGGCGGGGGAGCACCACAACGCGUGGAGCCUGCGGUUUAAUUGGAGUCAACGCCGG
rnacentral:rRNA from 1 species